rnacentral:lncRNA from 1 species
CUCGCAAGACUUUAAUAUCAGUUUUCUCACCUCCUCUGUGAUCAACAGUUGUAAAAUAACAUGUUUUGAUAGGUUAUAAACUAUUUCCAAAUAAAAACAAUAGAAAAAUAAUUUUCGUCUCAUAUGGGCAUUUUGGUCAUUUUUCCUCACAAAUCUCGAAACCAGUGAAAAAUGUAGAAUACGAGUGGAAAACACAUAUUUCACAAUCAAAAAUAAAUUUAGAUGUCUAAAACAUUCAUUUAAAGGGAAACUAUAUCUAUUUGAAUAUAACAAAAAUAUUCAAUAAAAUUUACUAUUUUCUUAUAAAACAAUAUUUAUAGAGUUACCGAUAAAAAAAUUUUUUGUAGCGUAAAAGCUAAAUAAAUUCAUACAUACUAUAAUACAGAUAACCAAAGUAUAAAAUUUAAUUUACAGUGACACGUGGGCCCACAAUGACCAAAAUUAUCAAAAAAAAUGAACUUACCAUUUUUUGAUGAUGCAAGUCCAACUGCAGUCAUCGACGAUAUCAGCUAUCUACAGUCUAUUUUGAGCCUGAAAUGGGUGGAAAGGAGGGUGGUGAGAUUAUAAAAUCCCAGUGAGUAAACAAACAUUAUUUAAAUAAGCUAAAGCUGAGUAAAAUGAGACAAUCAAAAUAUCCCAUCACAAUACGUAUUUUACAACUUGAAAAUUCAUCCCAACCCAGGCAAACGAUUGUAUUUUAUUUAAUUCCUCAAUAAGGCUUAUGACUUUCAUAAACAUUUGACUCAUGCCAUCAAAUAGUAAUCGGUGACACCUUGAUUAGAGGCAUUCAACCGAUCUCGCCAAGGCUGUUAAAAAUUUCAUAUACACAUAAACAUAUUUUUAGUAAAAGAAACACAACCGUUCCUUGGCGUUAGUGGAGUUCAUCAUCACGAGGUGGUUCCGCUUGACGUGAACUCUAUCCAUACCUCAGGAGAUACCCUACGUGCCUCUCCGACCGAGGUACAUAUAUAUAUCCGGAUUUUGUGCCCCUCUAAUAGGUUGGUCCACAGAAUUCGCCCACUACAGCAAGCUAAACCCACCAUACAAUAAAUUGAAUAAUAGCAUUGGCAAUUAUUUUAUUCUACAGCCUCUCAAGGCAAAUUAACAAUUCAUACUUUUUAAGUACAUUCACCAAAUCAAUCAUUCAUGCCAAUAUUGCCAUAAGCCAACCAGUUAAAAUCAUAAAUUUACAAUACAUCAAGUGGUCUCCAAUUACUCUAUUUCAAAACUGUCAUUUAAUUUCAAGACAACUUGUAAAAUCUCUUCAUCUAAACACGUUUUGUUUAUAAACAUAAAGAUUUGCCAUUAAAGGUCAUUUUCAUAAAAUUUCACCAAAAUUGAAUAAAAACAUACUUUAGAUAAUUAAAAUGAUGGUAAAGUUACUCACAGUACUAGGAGUUCGAUAUACUCCUAUUCCUGGUCUUCGGGCAUAAUCUCUUUAUCCUUGUUAGAGGGCUCACCACCUAUACAUCAUACGUGACACGAAUUUCAAUAAAUUGUGUCAAUUUAUCAUAAACUAUUUCAGGCUCUAUAAAUCUAUAUGAAUGCACGAAAUGUGAUGCAAAAUGUCCGAAGAGCCGUUUAAAUACUGUAUUCGACCUAAUUCGUACUAUUCUCGGUGUAAUUGGUUAAAACCUCCAAUUUAACUCCAAAUCGAUUUCUUUCACUUUCUACACUCCAAUUAUACUUAAAAUACCUCAAUGAUUGUGAAUAUGAUUCAAUUUAUCAAUCUGAACCAUAAAUCGCACAUGUCUAUACAUUAGGUAAAAAUUCAGAUUUUCAUGCCAAAAGUUUCCAUUAAAUUUGUAGCCUCACCAAUCAUUAAAUACCACCAAAAUAUCAUGAAAUAUCAUCAAUUUCAGCCUCAAUAUCCUCCUUAGAAAAUUCGGCCAAUGAUGGGUAAUGGGAGAAAAUAAAUUUUCUUGUUGGCUUUUCAUGCUACACAUCACUAACUAACUAAAAGCACUAGAAUAUCUUAAAAUCUAACCAAAACAUCAUCAAAUUCUCUCUCCUAGGUGUUCGGCCAGGAAGGGUUUAUCAUGCAAACUUGAGUUCUAAGCAUGGAAAAUGAAAAAGAAAGCAUGGGUAGUGUAAAUCACAAGAUAAAAUCAAGAAAUUUUACUUUUGAUUGCUUAAUUACUUGAAAUCCCACACUUUUUCUUCAAUUUUCCCACCUAGGGUUUGUGUUCUUUCCUUUCCUCUCUUUGUUCUUG